GACGAACGCUGGCGGCGUGCUUAACACAUGCAAGUCGAACGGAAAGGCCCUGCUUGUGGGGGGUGCGAGAGGGGCGAACGGGUGAGUAACACGGGAGUAACCUGCCCUUGACUUGGGGAUAACUUCAGGAAACGGGGGCUAAUACCGGAGAGGAGCUCCUGCUGCAGGGGGGGGGUUGGAAAGUUUCGGCGGGUGGGGGUGGACUGGCGGCUUAUCAGCUGGUGGGUGGGGUAGUGGCUUACCAAGGCUUUGGCGGUUAGCCGGCCUGGGAGGGUGACCGGCCCCAUUGGGACUGGGAUCGGGCCCAGACUCCUACGGGAGGCAGCAGGGGGGAAUAUUGCCCAAUGGGCGGAAGCCUGAUCCACCACGGCCGCGUGCGGGAUGCCGGCUUCCGGGUUGUAACCCGCUUUGGCAUGUGCCGAAGCGUGAGUGACGGUACUGGGUAAAGAAGCACCGGCUAACUACGUG
rnacentral:rRNA from 1 species